UCUUAAUCAUUGUAUUGAUGGUUCUUGAGAUAACGUAAGGGAUAAAAAUGAUAUUACCUUACUAUAAGUGUUGUCCAACAUUACUGGUGCCAGAAGACUCGGUAACGCCAGAAACGCAAACGUUAGUCGUCCUAAACAGGCGUAAAGGGUAAGUAGGCUGCUUUGAAAGUUUUUAAUUAGAAAGCUCUUAAAAAAAAAUUAAAGUAAUUAAUAAUGAAUUAAAGCUAGAAUCAAAUAGGGGAUAAGCCAAAUAAUAUUUAGUGUAAGGCUAAUAUCUUUAGAUACUAAAUGGAAUACUAAGGUGAAAACUUUUAUCUACUAAUGAUUGACGCUGAGGAACGAAGGUGAGAAUAGAAAACAGGAUUAGAGACCCAGGUAUCUCUCACUGUCAACGAUGAAUGGUAGUUGUUAGUUAAAUUAUUAACUAGUAACGAUGUUAACGCGUUAACCAUUCCGCCUUGCGAGUAC
rnacentral:rRNA from 1 species